UUUUGAUACUCUUGUCUACACGUUGUCUCCCUUUUGUUGCAAACUCUGAGCCGGUUCGUAACAGGAGUAAGACAGCCUUGGGACAGAAGUAACAGCUGGCGAGAAGUGCACAAAAUCUUAUCUCCAUGUUUCUGGUUUGUAAUGCUCAUUGCUUUCAACAAAUGUACUAUCAGACAUAAGUUCAUGUUUGUGACGAUUUGAAUAAUUAAUGCAAUAGGUUCGAAAUUUAUAAAAAUGAACCAAGCGUUAACAUCGCAAUGUUGCGCAACCACUAUUUUGCCAUACUAAAAUCAGACUAUAAUAUUAACCAUUAUUUUCUCAUCUCACUUUAAUGGGAAUGUAGUAGGAUAUGUUUUUCACCAUUUGAAAUGACUAUUCAUGCUUAGCGCUACCAAUCAGGUGCCCCACAGCUGUCCUUUUCAUGCGCGCUCCUUAGUUCUUGACAGAAUAAACGUCUUUAUUCUCUUCACAAAUGGGAGCUCGUCCUCCACAUUAGGAACUUGCGGACUUCACUUCGUCAUUCCAGUUUCUGUGUUAUCUGAGAAAAUGGGCGUGUUACUUUACCCGGUGUUACUUUCACCCCAGUUUUACUUGACUAUUUAUAGAUUUGAGUACUUUUACUCCACUACAUUCCUAAAAUAAAUAUGUACUUUUUACUCCCAUACAUUUUUCCUGCCAUCCAACAGUACUCGUUACAUUCGAAUGCUUAGAAGGACAGGAAAAUGGUCCAAUUCACAUACUUAUCAAGAGAACAGGGGAUCCCUACUGCCUCUAAUCUAGCAGACACACUGAACACAAAUGCUUUGUUUGUUUGUAAAUGAUAUCUGAGUGCUGGAGGGUGCCCCUGGCUGUCUGUAAAUGAAAAAAAAUUAAAUUGUGCCAUCUGGUUUGCUUAAUAUAUGAUUUACAGCAUUUACUUUGGGCUCCCGAGUGACGCAGCGCUCUAAGGUACUGCAUCUCAGUGCUAGAGGUGUCACUACAGAUCCUGGUUCGAUUACAGGCUGUAUCACAACUGCCGGUGAUUGGGAGUCCCAUAGGGCGGCGCACAAUUGGCCCAGUGUCGUCCGGGUUAGUUUUUGGCUGUCAUUGUAAGUAAGAAUUUGUUCUUAACUGACUUUCAUAGUUAAAGAAAGGUUAAACAAAGAAAAAAUACUUCUGAUACUUAAGUACACUACCAUUCAAAAGUUUGGGGUCACUUAGAAAUGUCCUUGUUUUUGAAAGAAAAGCAAAAAAAAAUUGGCCAUUAAAAUAACAUCAAAUUCAUCAGAAAUACAGUGUAGACAUUGUUAAUGUAAAUGAGUAUUGUAGCUGAAAUCUGCAGAUUUUUUUAUGGAAUAUCUACAUAGGCAUACAGAGGCCCAUUAUCAACAACAAUCACUCCUGUGUUCCAAUGGCACGUUGUGUUAGCUAAUCCAAGUUUAUCAUUUUAAAAGGCUUAUUGAUCAUUAGAAAACCCUUUUGCGAUUAUGUUAGCACAGCUGAAAACUGUUGUCCUGAUUAAAGAAGCAAUAAAACUCCUUCUUUAGACUAGUUGAGUAUCUGGAGCAUCAGCAUUUGUGGGUUCAAUUACAGGCUCAAAAUGGCCAGAAACAAAAACCUUUCUUCUGAAACUCGUCAGUCUAUUCUUGUCCUGAGAAAUGAAGGCUAUUCCAUGCGAGAAAUUGCCAAGAAACUGAAGAUCUCAUACAGCGCUGUGUACUACUCCCUUCACAGAACAGUGCAAACUGUCUCUGACCAGAAUAGAAAGAGGUGUGGGAGGCCCUGGUGCACAACUGAGCAAGAGGACAAGUACAUUAGAGAGUCUAGUUUGAGAAACAGACGCCUCACAAGACCUCAACUGGCAGUUUCAUUAAAUAGUACCCGCAAAACACCAGUCUCAACGUCAACAGUGAAGAGGCGACUCCGGGAUGCUGGCCUUCUAGGCAGAGUUCCCCUGUCCAGUGUCUGUGUUCUUUUGCCCAUCUUAAUCUUUUCUUUUUAUUGACCAAUCAGAGAUAUGGCUUUUUAUCUUUGCAACUCUGCCUAGAAGGCCAGCAUUCCGGAGUCGCCUCUUCACUGUUGACGUUGAGACUUGUGUUUUGCGGGUACUAUUGGGGAGGGACUUGGGGAGGACACUUAAAUCUUCCUGUGCCAGGUGGAUGUCGGGCUUAGGGGCAUGAUGCUUUGUAAUAUAGCAAAGAUUAUCUAUUAUAUUUACAUUUACAUUUUAGUCAUUUAGCAGACGCUCUUAUCCAGAGCGACUUACAGUAGUGAAUGCAUACAUUUCAUUAUUUAAAAAAAAAAAAUUGUUGUUGUACUAUAUGUAGUUAGAACUGUUAUCCCCAUUGCACAAUGCUGAUAGAAUAAUUAAGUGAUAAUGCCCGAGAAGCCGGUGUUUGGAGGAUAUAUUGGCACGGGUGUUGUUAGGCCCAAGACGAAGUCCAGGGCCAGCAAACCGUGCCAAAAUAUUGAGGGCAUACAAAGGGUUAACCAACAUAUUCAAAUAAUGAUAUACAUAAUUUAAUUAAAAACGUUAUUUUGCUGAAUUUAUUCAUACUAUUUCACCCUUCCACAAGAUAUAGUCCCGACACAAAUCUAGGGUUGUUACCCAAGCCGGCUGGUUGUUCUAUCGAUUCGGUUGCCAGAGAUGCGAACCAGUCGUUCAGUCUUUUUGUUCUGUAUCUAUGGACGCGACCCAGUUGUCCGUUCUAAAUGUUCCAUUGUCAUACUAGCUGGCAACGUUCUUAUCCCUUGCUUGCUAGCUAGUCAACUACAGCUAAUUUACAGCACAUCAAACAGUGCAGCCAGAAUAACAGUAGCUGCAUUUGCAUUUGUUUAAACUGUUUUCUAGUGACAUUUAUUUGGAUACAUCCAUAACAAUGAGCUAAUGAGGCACAAUUUAGCCUGGCAUAGAAAAUGUGCUCUCUCAUCAGGAUACUUUUGUUCACAGGAGCUAGCCAACACAGCUAACACAAUCACUUCAAACUGAAGCUGGAAAGACUGCACACUAGCACUACUUCAUUUCGCGGUACCUUUUUUCAAUUUAUAUUUCUUUGUAUAUAUCCAUAAAAAUGAUGCCAGCUGAUUCAUAAUUCAAGACUGGCUAAGAGAAGCUGCCUGUCUGUCUGUCUGUCUCGUCCUGACUCCCGACACGUUCCUUACUAUAGGACAGCUGGAGAUCCAAUUUUAAUAUUGAAACAAUGUUGCAAAUGUCGGAGAGACAGACAGCAAGGUUAUUACAAAUCUCCACUGUUGAAAACUAAAUGAAAAUCUUUAGUAAAUGUGAGAUAAUGUCUAGAAGUUUUUUAUAGUGGAGAUCAAGUUUAUAAAUUGCCUGGCUGGGCUGAUGAGACGGUGGAUUGCGCAGUCAGAUGGAACAGAGUAAAUAGGCAUUUUAACAUCAUAGAUUUAGCAGGUGGUGACUUGUGGAAUUGACUUUUAACCAAUCAGCAAUGUAUGCAAUGCACCUUUUAAAGGCAAAGUUCCUGAGUUCGCUCGCAGAGACCAGAUUCAUAGUAAACCCUGCAUAUGUCAUCUUAAAUUACCUUUAAAUAGCAUGUUGUCCAAAUCCGUGAUGAGCACAGUGAGGUGGCAGUUAUCACUCUGCAGUUUCUAGUAAUUCAUCUAAACAGAGUAGAGGCAGAGUUGCCAGAAUGGCCCCAGAAGCAUAGUCAGAAUGGCCCAGAAAGUGUAGCCAGAAUGGUCCUGGUAGCGUAGCCAGAAUGGUCCUGGUAGCGUAGCCAGAACGGUCCCGGAAGCGUAGCCAGAACGGUCCCGGAAGCGUAGCCAGAACGGUCCCGGAAGCGUAGCCAGAACGGUCCCGGAAGCGUAGCCAGAACGGUCCCAGAAGCGCGCGGCCAGAAUGGUCCAAGCGUAGUCGGAAUCACUCCUGGAAGCAUAGACAGUCUUAUUUGUAGGAUUCUUCCUCUUAAUCACAUGACUAAACCAGCCAAUAUAUAUUUGUUUGUAUAAUUUUGUUUUGUUU
rnacentral:lncRNA from 1 species